GGCCCUGGUGUGGCAUAGCGGUCCAAGUGUUGGACUACGACUCUGGAGACCAGGGUUCAAUUCCCAGCUUGGCCA